rnacentral:rRNA from 1 species
UACAGAGGGGGCGAGCGUUGUUCGGAAUUACUGGGCGUAAAGGGCGCGUAGGCGGCCUUCUAAGUCGAACGUGAAAUCCCCGGGCUCAACCCGGGAACUGCGUCCGAUACUGGGAGGCUUGAAUCCGGGAGAGGGAUGCGGAAUUCCAGGUGUAGCGGUGAAAUGCGUAGAUAUCAGGAGGAACACCGGUGGCGAAGGCGGGUCUCUGGGCCGAUACUG